UUUCUCUCUCGUCUUCACUCUCCUCUCCUCUCUGGCGAACUCACACACACACACACACACACUUACAUACACAAAUACCACAAUCACCACCACUCCCUUCCUUCUCUUCCUCACCUAUCUGAUCUCACUCACUCUUUCUUUCUCGACACUGUUGCACUAACAAUGUGAUUGUGAUCUCCAAUGAGAUCUCGAGCUUUUCUGACCAAGUUUUCUGGCAAAAUACCGUUGGUUGCAGACAAUUUUCCGGCUAAUCUCGACCACGAUUCAACCCCAUCUUGGUGCAUCGGUUGAGAGUGAUCCAGUCUAUCCUAGUUCGAGCGGCUUUUCGAUAGAGGAGUACUUGUGAGUGGACCCCUUCUUAACUUACAUUUUUUUUAUAAAAUAUUAGCCUAGCAUGCAUUUCAUAUUUCAUGAUUGAGCAUGUUUUAUAAUAUGUUUUAUGGAGAAUUUAUGAUUUCUUUAAAUUACUUUUACGGAAUAUUUAUGAUUUAUUGAAUUUACAUUUUACUAAAGGUUAUGAAAUAUUGGAAUUUCGUAUAUCAAUUUCUAUGGAUUUCGAAUAUGAUUUAUUUUGCAGAUUUACGAAUAUGAGAUUCCAUGGAUUUACAGAUAUGACUUACUAUGGAUUUAUGAGACGAGGUUUGAGCUUUUGAAAUCCGGUGAUUUGAUAUGAGAUUUUGAGCUAUGUUUUUUGUGCUUAUCUAGCGGGUUAUCAUACAACACAUCCACACAACACGGGUAUAGAUGUCUAUGGCCAUAGGACACAGUUUUAUGAGGAUGAGUGAGAUAUGAUAUAUAUUAUACCCCUAACUUCACGGCCAAAAGCAAUGUUGGACAACUUCACUAGCCACGGCUAGUGUCAGUGUGUGAUGUAAAUAUUUUCUUCUCCGGUGUAUCCCGAAGUCGUACAGCUUCACCUUCGAGUUAUGGGGCCUAUCAUGUUUCUUCACUGGUGUAACCUAGUGUCUUACAGCUUCACCUUCGGGUGAUGGAUAGGUACUAUCUUCGGGCGACUAUGAUACCUCUAGAGAGUACAAUAUUGAUGAGAUUUAUGGAUUUGCCUUCGGGCGAUGAUUGCACCGUUAUUGAGCAUGAUUUUAACCAUACUUAUUUUAUGAAUGAUUUCAUGGCAUGCUAGGAUUUUCAGAAAAAACCUAUUAUGUAGUAUUAUAUAUGUUUUCAAAACAAGGGGUUCGUAUGUUUAGUAAAAUGGUUUUCGUAUUAUUAGUAUUAAUAUAAAUUAUGGUAUACUCAAUUUUUCUGUUUUGCGCCCCCUCAGGACAUAGCGACGAAGACUAAGAUCCGAGGAUCAAGGCCCUUCCCUAUCAGUGACCUUGCAUCCCUCCACUUGAGUAUGACUUCUUUGAUGAUCACUUGUUUCUUGUUGUUCUUCUUUUCUCUGACACUUUAUUUUGUAAUAUGCUCUGGGAUAUACUCAUGAUCGUUGAAUAACUUAUUUCGUUCAUGCUUAAAUUGAAUUUAUUAUUGUUAUUGCUUCUUAAUAUUGCGUAUUCGUUGCGAAUGUUGUUUUUGCAUAAUUUCUAGUUUUCUCGUUCCUUCGUAUUCUCAUAGAUUCACUCAUUUAUGGCUUUCGUCACCUUUUGGUGUCGGCCAGCACGUGCCAUUCAGGUGUCAUUAGGAUAUCUGGGUUGGGGCGUGUCAUUACAUGUAUCUCUAGAAUUUGCUUUAUAACUCUCGUUACAUUCAUCAAUUCACGUAACAAACAUGGAAAUGAUAUAGACAUUUGUUUCUUUUGUUUGAGCCUUUCUAACCAACCCUUACAAUUAUUUUCCAAGUUAGCCCCUUUAGCCACAGUACAACCUUGUGAAAGACCUUUUGAUCCAAGAAAUUACUUAGUAUUGAUAGCGAGCUAUGUGGACAGGCAAACAUAUGGCGGUAUGUUUUGUGAGAUCAUUUGAGUGAACACGUUGGCCCACAAAUAUGAGUGAAUGAGUGUAUGCCUUGUGAGAAACUCACGGGUUUGCAUAUGAUGUUUUAAAGAAGCUUGGAAUUACGUUGACAUGGUUAUUACACACACUACACUCCAAGUUGGUUCAAUUCAAAUUUGGUUAACUCUUGGAUAAUGUCUUGAGCUAUUGUUAUUUUUUUCUUGAAAAUUAUCUCACGGUUGUUAUCUUAAAUAUUAAAAUUUGGGAAGUCAGCUAUUAUUUUUUUUCUUUCGAGUCUGUGUGUUUUAUCUUGGUUUGCUCAAGGACAAGCAAGAUCUUAGUUUGGGAGUAUUUGGUUCCAGCAAGGUUGCGGCAAAGAGGAGAGCUACUUUGGAGUUUUUAUUUAAUAAGGCUACAUUAUAAAUACUUAAUUGCCUUGUGGCAUUGUUAUUAUCAAGUUUUUAUUCCAUAUUGAGUAUCUUUUGCUAUUAGUAAUGCGCUUGAUUUGUAUUUAGAUGCUUGAUCACCAUCUAAGUUUUAGUUAAGUUGAUUUGAUGGAAGUUAGAGUAGAUG